GUUUGAUCCUGGCUCAAGAUUGAACGCUGGCGGGAUGCUUUACACAUGCAAGUCGAACGGCAGCACGGACUUCGGUCUGGUGGCGAGUGGCGAACGGGUGAGUAAUGUAUCGGAACGUGCCUAGUAGCGGGAGAUAACUACGCGAAAGCGUAGCUAAUACCAUAUCCUUCGGGGGAAAGCGGGGGACCUUUCAGGCUCGCACUAUUAAACGGCCGAUAUCGGAUUAGCUGGUUGGUGGGGUAACGGCUCACCAAGGCGACGAUCCGUAGCUGGUUUGAGAGGACGACCAGCCACACUGGGACUGAGACACGGCCAGACUCCUACGGGGAGGCAGCAGUGGGGAAUUUUGGACAAUGGAAACCUGAUCAGCCAUCCCGCGUGUGCAAUUGAAGGCCUUCGGGUUGUAAAGCACUUUUGGCAGAAAGAAACGGCGCGGGAUAAUACCCCGUGCAACUGACAGUACCUGCAGAAUAAGCACCGGCUAACUACGUGCCAGCAGCCGCGGUAAUAUUACAUGAGGUGCAAGCGUUAAUCGGAAUUACUGGGCGUAAAGCGUGCGCAGGCGGUUUAGGAAGAAAGAUGUGAAAUCCCAGAGCUUAACUUUGGAACUGCAUUUUUAACUACCGAGCUAGAGUGUGUCAGAGGAGGUGGAAUUCCGCGUGUAGCAGUGAAAUGCGUAGAUAUGCGGAGGAACACCGAUGGCGAAGGCAGCCUCCUGGGAUAACGCGGCAACUCAUGCACGAAAGCGUGGGGAGCAAACGGGAUUAGAUACCCUGGUAGUCCACGCCCUAAACGAUGUCAACUAGCUGUUGGGGCCUUCGGGCCUUGGUAGCGCAGCUAACGCGUGAAGUUGACCGCCUGGGGAGUACGGUCGCAAGAUUAAAACUCAAAGGAAUUGACGGGGACCCGCACAAGCGGUGGAUGAUGUGGAUUAAUUCGAUGCAACGCGAAAAACCUUACCUACCCUUGACAUGUCUGGAAUCCCGAAGAGAUUUGGGAGGGUGCUCGCAAGAGAACCGGAACACAGGUGCUGCAUGGCUGUCGUCAGCUCGUGUCGUGAGAUGUUGGGUUAAGUCCCGCAACGAGCGCAACCCUUGUCAUUAGUUGCUACGAAAGGGCACUCUAAUGAGACUGCCGGUGACAAACCGGAGGAAGGUGGGGAUGACGUCAAGUCCUCAUGGCCCUUAUGGGUAGGGCUUCACACGUCAUACAAUGGUCGGGACAGAGGGUCGCCAACCCGCGAGGGGAGCCAAUCCCAGAAACCCGAUCGUAGUCCGGAUCGCAGUCUGCAACUCGACUGCGUGAAGUCGGAAUCGCUAGUAAUCGCGGAUCAGCAUGUCGCGGUGAAUACGUUCCCGGGUCUUGUACACACCGCCCGUCACACCAUGGGAGUGGGUUUUACCAGAAGUAGUUAGCCUAACCGUAAGGAGGCGAUUACCACGGUAGGAUUCAUGACUGGGGUAGGUAUGGCUAAAGGUAA
rnacentral:rRNA from 1 species